ACCAUUGGCAGCGGAACAAUUCAGGGAAUUAGGGGUAGUUGGCCAAGGACCGGUAAGUCACCCCGGGCUUCCACCCGGCGGGGAUGGCGUUGUUGACGACGAGCACCCUGCCGGAGUCGGAGGUGAGCCGGAGCCCGAACGGCGCGUUGAGCCUCUUUCCGUUGUUGAGCAUCCACAUGGCGCCCCAGUUGUGCGCCAUGGACGUCCAGGCGCCGCUGCCGGCCUCCAUCAGGUCGACGGCGUUGAGGUCGCCGUCGUCGUCCUCGAACUCCACCAGCACGUUGAAGUAGAAGGGGUUGGCGCCCUGGUCCACCUUGAAGGCGAUGUUCACGCCGGGGUACUUGCACUGCACCCUCCUGUACUGGAUCCUCAGCACGCCGCCGGCGCGGAGCUUGUCGGCCAUGCCGGGCCUCGCCAUGGCGCCCAUGGCCGUGCCGCUCAUGUCGAAGUGGGCGACCUCGCCGGGGAACAGGUCGCCGGGGGACCUGUCGGUGAUCACGAUGGUCACCGGCUGGCCGGAGCACGCCGCGUUGGUCGUGCAUUUCACCUGCACGUUUUUACCAUCCAGUCAGUACCUGCCGACAACCCUGCGAUAAUUGAGAUAUACGACGGCAGUUCAGUGGUAGGCCGCGUGACCACCACACGAGCAUGCAUGCUGACCUCAUAGCAGGCGCCGCAGCCCUCGCCGUCCCUGUACAGCGGCGUGCUACCGGCGGCGAUCAUCGACGAGAACGGCUGCUUCCCGACGGCGGUCUGGUAGCCGCACGCGCCGCCUGCAAUAUUCACAAUGUCAGCGACAUCGGUCAGUGCAUCGGCACAAUAACAACCGUACGUGGAAUGCACGGUACACACUACGGCGUCGACAUGACAGGCAUGGACACAAGCAAGCGCGUGGCGCUAACCUUCGCCGCCGUCGCCAUUGGGGGCACCGUAGUACGUCGCGCCGGCGCCGGACAGCCAGCCGCCGGAACCGUACACGGUGGACGGCGACGAGGGGAUAGCGGUGUAGUUCCGGUGGGGUUUGGCUGCGGGCGCCGGCUUGUGGCCGCUGACCUUGACGGCCGGCGCCGGCUUGUGGGUGACCUUGGCUACCGGCGCCGGCCUGUGGCUGACCGCCUUCGUCUUCGGCUUCGCCUUGCUGAGCUUGCGGGUGCAAUCAAUGGGGCUCACUACAAGUGAGAGCAAGACCACAGCUGCCAACAGCACUGUGCAAAGCUUGGCCAUUGCUGCUGCUGCUGCUUCUCGUUCUUCCAAGCUUACCACUUGGAAUGUUCAGCUAGCUAGCUCGAUUAUUCUUGGGUGAGCUGGAACAGUGGGCACGAGUGGGGUAUUUAUAGGAAGAGAGGUCACUUUGGAGGGGCCGACGAUGCGCAACAAUUUUGGGGACGACUCUACCGGUCGAUUGAAUUAUUGUGGAGAACGUGACAAGUUGGUGUGUUCCCGGAAAAAAGUCCAAGCCAACCAUUUCUUUAAUUUGUAUGAGUACCUAGCGCUGUGAGCUAAAAUCAUGUGUAAAUGGCCAGUUUGUGAGUUCAAUUGGGCAAAUGGCCUCUAAGGAGUAAGGAAAUGCAAAUGGAAAACACGUGUAGAGAAAUUUAAUCUGCAAGUGUGUACUGUCGGUAUGCGAGAAAGGUGUUCCAAUAGUUAGGGCUCAAAGCUAGUAUAUUGUACGAUGAGUUGCAUACUAUGGAGUAUGGACAUGCGUAGCAUACAUGAUGCCCAAGAGAUGCUACACCUAGUCAUCUGCUACGCAUAGUAGCUGAAAAUUUAUAUUGCAUGUUUUAAAUCAUUAAUUUACUCUCUUUGGUCCUAAAUGUUUUUUCACCAUUGAUUUUUUAUUACAACGUGUGACCUAGAUACUAGUAUAGCCAAAAUCAUGUAAAAAUCGAUUGUGAAGUGAAGGUUGGAAAUGGUCUUUAAAAUGAACAAUCAUAUGCAUUUCUUCCAUAUUAGGGUUUACCUAGAUAACUUUCCUAGGAAUAUAAUAUCUUGAACUCCAACAAGAAACUUUUUCUUUACAAACACGAUACAGAUACUUGAUGAUCAAACACAUGCGCCUGAUAGUACUAUAGGCAUUUUGUUGAAAUUUGUGGUUUUGCCACACCAUAUAAAGAGAAGUUCAUCGGAAAAUCACCUCGGUUGCUAUAACAAAUAAACAUAUGAGAGCAUUGUUGAAAUCAGAGCCAUUUACAGUUAAUUUCAAAUAUUAAAUAAAACAUGACAUAAACGAUAGCCAUAACAGGAGCAUGAAACUUUGUGUCUAUAGCAACAAACAUAAAACAUGCAAUGGAAACUAUGGAACACAAGAACUAAACCAGAAAGUUCACGAGGAAGUACCCUGAGGCAGGGCCAGUUCCGAAGGAAUCGAAUGCGCCAUUACCCGACAUUGGUAGUCGAGCCUAUUCGAUGUAGUCGAUCAGAGGUCGAUGCCGUGCAGAUAAUCGUCGUGCAGUUGCGUCUCCAGGAAGUAGUGGUUCACAGUGAGCAGUCGCGCAGAUGCGCUCCUCAAAAACUUGAUCGCCCUUCUACUCUUUGGGUGCAGAGUCUCGUGUAAGGGCGCAGCUUCGGAGACCUACUCUUCUGGCGUGGUAGGUGCACACAGAGCACCAGAACGAGAAUAGCAAAAAUAGUGCAGUAGUGGAGAGAGCUCAUUGGCUGGUGUGUUGUGCACGGAAGACUGAGAAUGAGCACCUCUCUUAUAGGCACCAGAAACCUUUUGGGUGUCCAGAUUCAUUGCCAUUAUUCAGCUAUAGUAACCCCAGCCAUCAACGGGCAACCGUUACUAGUCAUUUGUUGUCACCCUUUUAAUCCACGUAAGUUACUAGUCACUAAACACUGUGUCAAUUACUAGUCAUCAACUCGUGAUUAAAAAUUGCAAAACCAGACCAAACCCAGCCCACACAUCACGUCCAACCAGCCGACCAGCCGGUCGCGUUGCGGCACGGUGAGGCAAGGUGAGCAAGCGCGCGCGUGUGGCAUCCUGCUAUCCCUUCCUCAACUUCUCAACAAGUGCAACAUGGCUCCACCUUAUAAGUUGGUUAGGGACCCUUUCAACUUUCAAGUUGGUUUUAUUACAAAUGUAACCACCACCAUGUGAAUGGGCCUUGGGAUUUAACUGAAUUAAUAGACCACCGGCCCAUUUAAUCUAACAAUCCCCACCAAAUUCCAAGGCACAUGUUCAGUUCCACUGCUGUUUGAUAUAUCAGCUUUUCGAUGGAGACCUUGUUAAGGUUGAGUAUCCACCUAGAGCAUAAGCUACAUUUGUCCAACUUUGAACAAUGAACUAUGCCUUGAAUUGCCAAUUUUGUGCGAACAAAUUUUACUUAGGUCCUUUACCGCUACUAGACUGCAAAUUGCAUCCCCUCUAGUUGGAGCAUAUAAGUCGUACUCCACGGCCUUUCACGAGUCUCUAGAGAUUACCUAAUCUUAUAGAUUGUGACUAGUACUCAAACUCGUAUAGGUAUGUUCCUCAAAAGAUGUUUCUGCAGGUUAACAUCUUUGCUUAAGAUAAGCCACUUAGAUCACAUUAAGGUAUUUACCAACCUGCCAUGCAGAUUUAGGAGAGAUUGCAUCUCGAACGGAGUAGGUUCGUACAAUAGUACUCUCCUUCUCAGUUAGUCAAUAGCUUGUUACACCAUCCUAGUUCACGAGAUCUCCAAUCAAAUAGAACAGGUUACCACUAUGACAUAACUCUCAUGUGGGUAUCAUUCCCAUCUCCCUCUAUGCCUCGUCUAUCAUAUUUCGUGAAAGACCUUUCGUGAAUUGAUCUGCCAGAUUCUUAGCCAUCUGAACAUAGUCCAGUGCUAUCACUCCGGAGUUUCUCAUCUUUCUGAUAGACUUCAGCCGCCUCUUCACAUGCCUUGAUGACUUCAUGUUAUCCUUAGAACUGUUCACCUUGGCAAUCACUGUUUGAUUAUCACAUUUCAUUAGGAUAGCGGGUAUCAGUUUCUCAACCACUGGCAAAUCCAUCAAGAGAUCACGAAACCAUUCAGCCUCAAUUGUGGCGGUAUCCAACGCUGUGAGUUCUUCUUCCAUUGUUGACCUUGUUAAGAUGGUCUGCUUGCAAGACUUCCAGGAAAUAGCACCACCUCCAAGUGUGAACACAUAUCCACUUGUGGCUUUUAUCUCAUCAGCAUUUGAUAUCCAGUUUGAGUUAUUGUAGCCUUCCAGUAACCUAGGAUACCCAGCAUAGUGAAUUCCAUAACUCGCGGUGCCUAUUAGAUAGCGCAUUACUCUUUCAAGAGUAUGCCAAUGAUCAUCUCCAGGAUUUGAAACAAAUCUGCUAAGUUUGCUCAUACCAAAUGAGAUGUCAGGCCUCGUAGCACUAGCUAAAUACAUUAGCGAGCCAAUGAUUUGAGAAUAUCUCAAUUGAUCCCUUGCUAUCCUUCGGUUUUUCCACAAUAUCACACUAGAAUCAUAAGGCGUGGGAGUAGGCUUGCAGUCACUAUAACCAAAGUGACUCAAUAUCUUUUCCACAUAAUGGGAUUGUAGUAAUGUAACCCCACCAUUGCCUUCUCUUAGUAGCUUAAUGUUCAAAAUUACAUGAGCCACUUACAUGUCUUUCAUCUCAAAAUUGUGAGACAAAAAGCUCUUAACUUCCUCAAUCAAUUGAGGUUAGUUCCAAAGAUCAAUAUGUCAUCGACAUAUAAACACAGGAUCACUCCUCCCCUACCAAAGUGGUAGUACACACAUUUGUCGGCUUCAUUCACAACAAAGCCUACAGACAUGAGACUUCUGUCAAACUUCUCAUGCCAUUUGAAAGAGCAUCUAGACCCCUUGUGGGUUUUGGUGAUUGAAUGAUAAAAACAAUUAAAGGACUAAUGAGCUUGUUGAGCUUUGGCAAUGUUUUAUUAGAAAUGAAAAGGUCAAGCUCAUAUCAUGUGAAGCAUGCAAAAGUAAAGAAAUGAUAAGCAAAGAUUGAAUUGAGUGAAAGAGACAAAGAUGGAAGUGAAAUUAUAUUGUCUCAUUAGUUGUUUGCUUAUAUAAUCAAAGAAAGUUUAAAAUUGCAUGAGGAUUGAUCAAGAUUACAACAAUGAUAUACGUGAUCAAGAGCAAUGGUGAAUUGAAUGGAAUUUCAAUGAUAGGUUGAUUGGUCACAUGGAUGGUAUUCCUUAUUAUCAAGAAAGAAGAUAUUUGACCAAGUACUUAGUAUUUCAAGGAAAGUUAAGAUAGAAGAUUACUUGGUCAUAAUAUUGGUAUAAGAACGAUAUUCAAGUAUGAAUCAAGUUCAUUUAUUGAAGAAGUGGAUUUCAAUGGGUAUUCAUUGUUGAUGCAAAGAAAAGCUUAACUUGAGAUGACAAGCUAGGGUGAAAAAGUCAAACAAGGACUUAACUACAAGAUACUAAGCAAGGAUGAAGUGCAAGUGGUGACUUGGGCUGAUGGAUCUUUGCUAGGGUGAAGAAACUAGCACUUAGGAGAACUUUGAGGAACUAAUCAAGCCAUGAAGAGUUAAGCAAUUCAAAGUAUCAAAUAAUUGUUGAAUCAUAAGAAUUGAGGUGACUUGAGUAUGUCAAGUUGAUUAUUGAUCAUAUAUGUUGAGGAACAUCAAGUCACUAGCUCAAGGAUGAUAAUGCUCAAGAAAGAGAGAAAGAAAUACUUGAAAACCCCUCAAAGUAUGAUUUUGAAUAAAAGUGGCAUGGUGAAGCUAUUCAAGAUCAAGUGAUUUAUAUUGUGUUUAUUCUUUGAUCUUGAGUAUAGGUAACGCCGUACUAUCAAGAGGGAUGCAACGUGGAUAGCUUCGCUUAUGUCUCGGUGCUCAAACCUAACAUUCCAAGUGCUAACAUGAAAGAAACACUUGUCACAACACUUGCACCGGGUGGUCUUGGAGCUUGUUUUUAGUUGGAAUGGAUACUCCUCUGAAUAAGCUUUCCAUAGAGUCCAAGAUCAACGAAUUCAGAGCCCGGAGUAAAAAGUUAUGGUCUUUUCUCUUAGGUGACUUGUGAUGUCUAGUAGACCUGUGGAAAUUCCGGAGAAUUCGAGAUUCCGUAAGUUGUGGAAAUUCUAGAGAAUUGUGCGGAGUUUCCAGAACUUUUUGAACCUAACAGUUAGUUUUGGGAGUCUGGAGUUUUCGGAGGUUUUUCUGAAAGAUUCCAGAACUUAACAGCCCAACGGCUAGUUUUUGGGGGACGGAUAUUUAUACCCCUCAUCUUCUCCCAUUUGGAGCUACUGGUUCCCCAUAUGAAAAACACAUCUCCACAGCCCUUUUGAGCCCUCCCAUCUCUAGUAUUGCAAGAGAUUUGAGAAGAAAAGAGAUUUGGGGUGAGAGAUUGAAAGAUUGAGUGAAAGUGAGCACAUCCAUCCUUGAGCACUCGAGUUCAUAACAAGAAAUCUUUAUGGCGUUUGUUACUCUUGGAGGUAUUCCUCCUAGACGGCUACGGGUCGCCCAAGAGCUCCCAAGGUGUGGUGAGUCACGGGACAGUUUGUGUAGGUCGAGCUUCGCCUCCGAAAGGGAAGAAGGUAACUAGUGAAGUGGGGAAAGAGUUGAGUGCAACCCAGCUUCUUUGGAAGCACCCAACAGAGAUGUAGGAUUCGCCUAGGGUAAAUCUGAACUUCGGUGAAACAAAUCAUUGUGUCUCCUCACUGGUUUGCUUACAUUUGCAUUGCACUUCUAUUUCAUUGUGAUUCUGUAAUGUUGGUUGAUCUACUCGGGCGUUAGUGUUUGUGAAGUGCAGGAACUUUGUGAUCCUACUAAGAUACACCAUCUGAGCAUACUCUCUAAACCUGGUUUGAUCUUUAUCUCACUUGUAAUGCAUAAGGUUUGGUGGUUCUUUUUGCCCGAGCCGAAACUGGAAGUUCUGGUUUUGAAACCAGAAAGUUCCGGUUUUCAAGCAAACAGUUUUAUUCCGCUGCUUAAGGCGUGUGUUCCCUAUCUUCGGAGAUUUCGAACAUUUCUUCGAAGAUUAUGUAAUUUGCAGAAUAUCUAGAAUUUUGAAUAAUUCGCAAAUCGUUGAUAAACUUGUUUUAAGGGGCAACGAUUUCAGGUUACGCCUAUUUAUCCCCCCCCCCUCUAGACGACAUCAAGAUCCUUUCACCAUUUCUUAGGUGUUUGUUUGUGGCCAUACAAAGAUUUUAACAACUUGCAUACCUUUUCUUCUUGAUCUUCUACUACAUAUCCAUUAGGCUGAUCCAUGUAAAUUUUCUCAUCCAACUCUCCAUUAAGGAAAGUCAUCUUAACGUCCAUCCGAUGGAUGAGAGAAGACUGUCUGAGGCAGCCAAGGAUAGUAAUACUCAAAUAGUGAUCAAUCUGGCAACUGGUGAGUAAGUAUCAAAGAAAUCCUCGCUUUCUUUUUUGGGUGUAACCCUUGGCCACGAGCCUUACCUUGUACUUUUCAAUAGUAUUAUCUAGCCUAAGCUUCUUCUUGAAUACCCACUUGCAUCCUACAGGUUUGCACCCGUAUGGACGAUCAACGACCUCCCAAGUCCCAUUAAACAUUAUGGAAUCCAUCUCACUUUUGAGCUUCCUUUCAAUAGUUAGCAUCAGGAGAUCCAUAAGCCUCAGCAAUGGUUUUUGGAGUAUCAUCUACAAGGUACAUAAUGAAGUCAUCACCAAAAGAUUUUUCAGUCCUUCAUCUCUUACUCUUUCGAGUCCCUUCAUUGUCAACCUUCUAAUGAUUUUCCUCAUGUGGUUAUUCAAAGUGUACUACUGUAUCAUUAUGUUUAGGGGAAUUAACAAAUUCAUGACUAGAACUGCUAGAUGUUUCUUUCAUAGGAGAAAUGCUCUCAAAGAAUGUGAUAUCUCUAGACUCCAUGAUUGUACCAACAUGCAUGUCUGGUACUCCAAAUUUUAUUAUCAAGAACCUAUAUCCGACACUAUGAAAAGCAUAGCCUAGAAAGACACAAUUAACUGUUUUCGGUUCGAGCUUGUGUUUCUUAGCAACCGGUACAUUAACCUUUACCCAACAUCCCCAAGUAAGCAAAUAUGAGAGUGUUAAUCUUUUAUUUUUCCCAUUCCUCGAAUGGUGCCUUCAAUUUAUUUUUCAUAGGAACUCUGUUAAGUGUAUGACAAGUAGUUAACAUGGCUUCAGCCCACCAUUCCCAAGAAAGUCCGAAGGUUUCUAACAUGGCGUUAACCAUCUCUGUAGCGCGGUUCUUUAUUUCAGCCACUCCAUUUGACUCAGGAGAAUAAGGUGGUGUUUUCUCAUGAAUAAUGUCAUGUUCCUCACAAAACAAAUUGAACUCAUUAAAGAAAUCCUCUCCACCUUGAUCUGAUCAAACACAUUUUAUCUUCCUCUCAAGUUGAUUUUCAACUUCGAUCUUAUAGAUCUUGAAAAAAUUAAAUGCCUCAUCUUUCGUUUUAAGCAAGUACACAUAGCAAUAUCUAGUAGAAUCAUCUAUCAAAGUCAUGAAAUAUCUCUUUCCACCUUUAGUCAACACCAUUCAUUUCGCACAAGCCUGAAUGAACUAAUUCUAACGGUGCCAAGUUCCUCGCCUCGGCAGCCUUGUGAGGCUUGCAGGGUUGCUUAGAUUACACACACUUGACACUUAUAAUUUUUGACCAAAAUAAAUUUUGGAAUUAAAGUCAAAUUAGCUAGCUGCAACAUACAACAGAAAUUAACAUGACAAAACCAUAAAUGCUAAAUAUUUGAUUCAUCAUCAUUACACACAUGAUUCAUAACUUUAUUACAAGAGUCCGAUAACGACAAGCGAAACAAACCAUCACAGUCAUACUCUUUACCAACAAAGGAACAAAACUUAGACACAACAUAUUUGUUCGACUCAAAUACCAACUUAAAACCAUCCUUACAAGGGAUCCGCUAACAACUUUUUUAUUUAUUGAGGGGACGUGUUGCAUGUUCUUCAGCCGCACGGUCUUUCCCAAAGUAAACUUCAGAUCGACCAUACCAACACCACGAACAACAGCACCUGAAUUGUUCUCCAUCAACACGGAUCCAGUCCGUAAGAAGAAAAUAAAGAAAUAUCAGCACACACAUGUAUAUUAGCUCUGGUGUCAAUCCACCAAUUUGGUAAAUAACAAACUGAAAGAACAGUAGCAUGAUUACCAUACCAUGAUGUUCCCUUCUCAGCAUCACUAAUAACAACAUUAGCAGACUUCUUCUACCCGUGCUGCCACUCGUCCUUACGGUCCUUGCAGUCCUUGGCUCAAUGGUCAAAACCAUCGCACACAAAGCACUUUACCUUGUUGUUGUUCUUCUUCUUAAAGUUGGUAGUCUGAGCAAUCUUGUGUUGAAACUUAGACUUUCUUUUGCCCUUAUCCCUUUGGGAUUGGAAGUUCCUAUCCUUUUGCUCUCGUCUUCUCUUCAACAUCAAGAGUGCCGAUCAAACCGGUUAUAGUAAAUUCCUAUCUCUUGUGUUUCAGAGUAGUAGCAAAGUUUCUCAACGAAGGAGGCAAUUUGGCAAUGAUGCCAUCUGCCACAAAUUUAUCCAGCAGCGGGCACCUGAAGUUAUCGAGAUCCUUAGCAAGUGCCUAUAACUCAUGAGCUUGUUCAACCACAAGACGGUUAUCGACCAUCUUGUAAUCAUAAAACUACUCCAUGAUAUAUAGUUCACUGCCCGCAUUGGAUACACCAAAAUUUGCCUUAAGUGCAUUCCACAACACCUUGCCAGAGGGAUGCUGCAUGUAUGAAUCGACCAAGUUCUCAGCAAGAACACUGAUCACAGCCCCUUUGAACAAGUUGUCAUCAGACAUGUACACACUAUCCCUUGCGGAGGUGUACGGUCCCAUAGGACGCUCCUAUGGGACCCUCCUUGGUAAUGAACCACCACACGUUCAUAGCCGUGAGCCACAAUUCAAGUCUGCCAACCCAAUUCUUGUAAUUGGUUCCAUAAAAAAUAUUCGGCUUAAGUUGCAAAGCAAAGCCAACUACCGAAAAAGCGCUAUCAAGUUUUUGGAUUGUUGGAAUGAGAGGCAUUUUAUGGUUAAUUCCAAAUAUUAAAUAAAACAUGACAUAAACAAUAGCUAUAACAGGAGCAUGAAACUUUGUGUCUAUAGCAACAAACAUAAAACAUGCAAUGGAAACUAUGGAACACAAGAACUGAACUAGAAAGUUCACGAGGAAAUACCCUAAGGCGGGGCCAGUUCCAGAGGAACUGAAUGCACUGUUACCCGAUAUUGGUAGUCGAUCCUGUUCGAUGUAGUCUAUCCAUGCGCAAAAAAAACAAAACAAAUUUAUUUAAAGAUCUCCUUUUCUUCUGAGAACAAAAAUGUUUCUAAUAACUCCAACUUUAGUCAAAAUAAUGAUGUAUUCUAGUUACCAAAUGUCCAAAGUGCUCAUAUUCACACACUACACGAUUUCUUUCCGUUGAUAAUUAUCUUCGCAGUAACAGACGAAACUUCAAAAUAUUCAAACAAAGCAGAGUAAUUAUCUAACAGUAGGUUACACGCGAUUUGGGGGAUCGGGGGAAAUAAUUAGUGAGGUCUAUGUCAUGAUUGUUGGCUUGUUGCUAAUUAACACCAACAUGAAGGAGACCAACCUCUUCGAUUAUGGAGCCGAUCACGUUCACCGACCAAGGAUUUGGAUAAAGAAAUGGAACCCCACGAGGAAGAACUACCUCAGAAGUUCGUUAGGAUAGCACGGUUGGAAGAAGAAGAAGAAGAAUCGCUGGCCAUCUUCGUUUGAUUCUCCUUUUCUCAAACGCAUGGUUGGCUACUUCAUCAUUCCUUCAUCUUUACGAUGAUACGAGCUAACGAGACCCCACCACAGCUUACCUGUCGUGCACGAGCAAUGCGACCCAAAUGCACUGAUCGUUUUCUUGUGCCAGGAAGGAGGAUGUUUGAAAAAUCUCUUUUCUUGUAUACAAAUAAUGGGAGAAUGUGUGGUUGCAGGUGGCUGCGUUUGCGACUUUGCACUCUGCAUCUGACGCUUUACGCACAAUCAGAGCUGAAUAAUCUGAAUCAUGUGCCAUGUGAUCUGUCGAUGCGAUGAACCACUUUAUCCAGGCACAAGGGGCCUGGGAAUUCAAAGAGUGCAAUCGUAUCAUGCAUUAUAAUUGCAAGUUGCAACAGCUUCCCCGGUGCUCAGUGCUGCAUCCCGUCAAACUUAUCUGCUUUUAAUUAGUGGCCGGUAGCGCUAAGCAACUCUUGACAUGCUAAACUUCUAAAUUUUUAAGGAAUCGCUGAAGUAUGUAUAUAUUCUCGAGAUCUAAUCAUCCAUGCCCUUUUGAAUUAUUAUUAGUUGAAGCAGCCCCACAGAACAGCCACAGAGCAACGGGCUGUAUAUGUCUUUUGGAUCAGAUUCAUUGAUCGAAUGUCAGUUCAAACGGUUCUUGUGUGGUUCCUCCUAUUUCAAACCUGGUAAAUUAAGCAGCUUGCUAUUUUACCACUGCUAAGCCUUCACCCACUCCAUAACAACCAUCUCUAGUUGCUUGACAUGGUUCGUUUAUAACCUCCAUGCACUCCACCUCGAUCUGUAUUGUAUCAGUUUUCCGCAAGUCAGCCAAUAUGUAUCUCUGAAAAUUGCAUGUAUGAAACAUGCAUCUAAUAAUCUUCUUGUUGCAAAAAUUCACCUAUCGUACAUGUAUGAAGCCCAUCCUGCCCGUUUUGAUAAUAUAGAGACAUUGAUGUAGUCUUUACCAAGUUAGGUAAUUCUAAAAUAGAAAUCCAAUAUUUUGUCUAGCUUCAACCAAAAAAAAAUCGCCAUUGAAAAUUUUGAUAAUAUAGAGCCAUUGAUAUAGUCUUGACUAUCAUAAAAAAUCUUCACUGCAAUAUGCUGAUGAAUAAGUAUACUCCAAGCAUUGAAACAAGUUUCACUAUUGAUGCUCAAGCAUGAACACAUGGACCUAGCCCAAGAACGAAGGCGAAGGGAGAUCGAGCUAGCGCGCGCGGCACAUGAGCUCAAUCAGUGAGCGCUGGGUCCAGCAGGGGGACUCGACUGGUUUUGUAAAUGAUGACAUUAUAUCGCUUUAGAAUGCCGAUUAAUCAGAUCGUCGCGGUGUAUGACCACACUGUCUGCAGCACAUGCAGGAUCGUGUGAUCCCGACAGUGACUAAGCAGCGUCCUUAAACGUCACUACCUAAUCCACAAUUAUAUAUAUUCUUCAGCCAGAUGGUCUCUUUCUUGUACCAUUGUCCAUACUGUAAUUUUACAAGCUCGAUCUAGUAAUCAUCAGUUACCACGGUAAGAAUAACGAGAAAGUACUGGUUCCAAAAAUAGUAGCCAAAGCUGCAGCAAGUUACAAGUCAUCUGCUCAUGCAACUUAGUUUGCCUAAAUUCAGAAAACUCAGAGGUAGAACACGUGUAGCUGGGCGGCAAGGGCCUUUUGAUUCGUCAGGAUCACACCCGAUGCACUGUUCAAUCGGCAUUAAGCAGAGUAUCCAGUUCACAGUUCAGUACUGCAAUGGAACCUCCGGUGUACAGACAACAGGUACAAUGGCCAAGGUUUUAGUACUAUGGGUAAUCCUUUUCGAAAUUUAAACAAUUCAAUUAAUAAGUGGGGCACCAAUCAGUUGGGGGGGCACAUUCAAGCCUCACUAGUGGUUUUGCCUGCUUUCAUUGAGACCUGCAUUUGUCAUGGUCUCCAGAAAGCCAGCACACAACAUGACGGGGAAAUUGAUUGAGUUGGUACAAAUAAAUGUUGCAAGCAAAGGAAAUUAUAACCCAUACGCCAAUUUAAGUGGUUUCAUAGAGAAUUGGUCGCUGGUCAGAUUAUCCAGGGACUGCACUACAUAUUGGCUGGUGCAUUUUCCUGGCAACCUACUUAAAAAUACGCUUGUUUGCAUAUUCUUGAAAGUGAAAACAUCGUGACAAAUAUGAUGACUUGUAUUGUUGCAAAUUCAACGUAGAUUUCACUUUAUCAUUACUUGUUGGCAAUUUUAAAUGGAGGGUUUCAGAUCUAGUCGUAAAUUGCAAUUCAAUUUUGGGUUACUUACCUUAAAUUUUCAUAAAAGCCACACAUAUAAAUAUUUAUCAUUGGGAAAACACACAUAUAUCACAUGGCAUGCUCAAAGUUACAAUAGCGUUAAUAUAUCGGCGGUGGUGACCAAAUUCUUCUUUCCAUCUCUAGCGGAGUAAAAAAAAGUGUAUUGAUGUUCAAGAUGCACCUGACGCAAUGAGCACCUCAUAUGCAAUUAUUCACUGGUCAGAGAUUCUGACCCAAAAUUAGAACCCACCAACGUGGUAGAUCCAUGGGAGAGACCCAACAAGGUAUACACACCAGCAGCUUACUCUAAGCUCAGAUAGAUAGCUAGGUUAUCAUCUAAUGCCGUAGAGACCAGAGAAGAACAACAAUCAGGGCUAGAAAAGCUGGGGCAGAGUGGAAAAAUGAAAAGGAUAAAAAGAAAAUUGCAUUUGAUUGAUUGUGGAAGGUUCUUCAAUCGACCUUGGUCCUUUAGAUUCAUAUAGAUUGGAAAGGUCUUAAUUCGAUACAAGUCGAAUCUAUGUAAAAAAAAAGGGGUCAAAGCAGUCCUAUGACUCAAUAUACAACUCUAUUUUGGACUCCAUUUGAAAAUUUCUGGUAAUGGUAAAAAGUUCCGGCAAACACAGGAUAAUUUUUCUGUUCAGUCGGAAUUUUUUGCUUCCCUUAUCUUUUUUAAGAAUAUCGAACCAAGUUCUUCUCCUACUGGUAUCGAGUAGAACAUGAUGAACAAGAUCUCUUCAUAGAUAUUCUCUAAGUUUAGAUCGGCAACUGAUUAUUGGAAAUUUCCAAAUCCUAGUUGUCGCCAACUUCCGAUUGUUGUAAUUUUCUCAUCCGAACUCAAAUGUGCGAUUUCUUUGUGUUGUCCAUUUCGAUCGUCUGGGCUAGGACUUCGAUAUGGUAAAAUCAAAUGUGUGAUUUAAAUCGCAUCUUGAUGUUGGUUAAAGGGCGCCUUAAUGUCUCCAAUAGAAUAAGCUAAAAAUGUUGUGGAGUCGCUAAUUUUGCUUGUCAGCAAUUGUCUUUGUCUUCAAUGCACCUUCAAACUAUUUUUCAAUGUCAUCACAAAGCGUUGUGAUUCAUUUCUCAGAAUUCUGAAAGGACUAAUUCAGUAUCCAAAAACGUCAAAAUACACAACUUGAUGCAUUGGCAUGCAACAUUUAGUCACAACUCAAAAAGGCUUCUCUUUUUCCUCAAGUACACAGCACCAAACUAACAAAUCGAGAUGAAGAAAUGAAAUUACAGACAUGGCCCACACUGUCACGCAUCACUUGGGGACUGCAUACAGAGACCGUGGAGGGAGGGAAGAACGCCAUUCUCUUCUUCAACCUCCUCUUCCUCUUCUCUGACUUCUGACAUCGUAGCCUCUCACAACACCCGGCCGCACACUACCCGCCAUGGACUUCUCGAGAUAUCCCCCUUUUCAUGGGUAGUUCACCAGGGAGCGGUACGUCGUCCCGGGCUUCCACUUGGCGGGGAUGGCGUGGUUGGCGACGAGCACCCUGCCGGAGUCGGAGGUGAGCCGGAGCCCGAACGGCGCAUUGAGCUUCCUGCCGUUGUUGAGGCGCCACGUGGCGCCCCAGUUGUGCGCCAUGGACGUCCACACGGUGCUGCCGGCCUCCAUGAGCUCCACGGCCUUGAGGUCGCCGUCGUCGUCCUCGA
rnacentral:lncRNA from 1 species